rnacentral:rRNA from 1 species
UGGGGAAUAUUGGACAAUGGGCGCAAGCCUGAUGCAGCAACGCCGCGUGAGGGACGACGGCCUUCGGGUUGUAAACCUCUUUUAGCAAGGAAGAAGCGAAAGUGACGGUACUUGCAGAAAAAGCGCCGGCUAACUACGUGCCAGCAGCCGCGGUAAUACGUAGGGCGCAAGCGUUAUCCGGAAUUAUUGGGCGUAAAGAGCUCGUAGGCGGUUUGUCGCGUCUGCUGUGAAAACCCGAGGCUCAACCUCGGGCCUGCAGUGGGUACGGGCAGACUAGAGUGCGGUAGGGGAGAUUGGAACUCCUGGUGUAGCGGUGGAAUGCGCAGAUAUCAGGAAGAACACCGAUGGCGAAGGCAGAUCUCUGGGCCGUAACUGACGCUGAGGAGCGAAAGGGUGGGGAGCAAACAGGCUUAGAUACCCUGGUAGUCCACCCCGUAAACGUUGGGAACUAGUUGUGGGGUCCAUUCCACGGAUUCCGUGACGCAGCUAACGCAUUAAGUUCCCCGCCUGGGGAGUACGGCCGCAAGGCUAAAACU